UACGUAGGGGGCAAGCGUUGUCCGGAUUUAUUGGGCGUAAAGAGCGUGUAGGCGGCCAGAUAGGUCGGUUGUGAAAACUGGAUGGCUCAACCUCCAGACGUCGACCGAAACCAUCUGGCUAGAGUCCGGAAGAGGAGAGUGGAAUUCCUGGUGUAGCGGUGAAAUGCGCAGAUAUCAGGAAGAACACCCGUGGCGAAGGCGGCUCGCUGGGACGGUACUGACGCUGAGGCGCGAAAGCGUGGGGAGCAAACAGG
rnacentral:rRNA from 1 species